CUAUCAUCCAGAAAGGCGGAGGGACUGGCCCUGCGAAGCCUUGGCAACCUUCAUUCCACAUGAGCGGUGCCAAAUCCAUCCCGGAGGAAAUCCGGGAAAGAUGAUGU
rnacentral:ncRNA from 17 species